AAGUCGUAACAAGGUCUCCGUUGGCGAACCAGCGGAGGGGAUCAUUUACCGAGUUUACAACUCCCAAACCCCAUGUGAACAUACCUACAAGUUGCUUCGGCGGAGCCGCCCCGGCGCCCGGAACGUCUGUUUCGCGGCCCGGAACCAGGUGCCCGCCGGAGACCACAAAACUCUUUUUGAUUUUACAGUAUCUUCUGAGUGUGCCGCAAGGCAACAACAAAUGAAUCAAA
rnacentral:misc_RNA from 1 species